CGUUCCCGCCCUCAGCCUCGCCUCAGCGAGCGGGUGGGGACGGAGUGGCGAAGCCUUCCAGUGUUACCUGUGCAGAUGAGCAGUGGCAUUGCACUGUGAGCCUGCUGAAUACAUUUCCUGUGCACAGAAACCACACAGCGGAUUUUUCACUUAACACAUUUGCAUUUGCUCCUUCAAUGAAGAAUGCUGUGUUCAGUCUGUGCAAGCCAACAACAGCUGGAGUAGGACUUGUGACAUUCCGGUUUGCUCCUGGCGUGUUUCACUGAGCAGUGGUUAUUCCUAUAGAGAAGGAGCUUUGCAGCUCGGGAAACACAUUGUGACUUCUCUUCUUCUCAUGGAUGUGUGGAAAAGGCAGGAGUGUGGACACGGAAAGUGAAGGGGUGGCGCCAAAGGGAGGAGAAGAAGAGAAAGCAGAAAUGCAAUGAACAGCGUGCUGGCUUUAGUUCUGCAAGCCACACAGGAGUGAAAGGCUUUCCCUGCAGCCAGAGCACCGAGGCCAUCAUCGCACAGAAAACUUCUAAGGACUGCUUAAUUUGAGUGUGCAGAUGCCAAACUCUUGGAUUGAUUAAUCAGCCAGAAAGUGGCAGCUUGUGGAAAUAUUUGGGCAUCCUCUAAAGGAGGAAAAUGAGGGCAAAAAACUGGCAGUGAGAGGGUGAUUCUCCAUUCAUUAAUAACUGUGCAAUGUAAAAGGUUUAAAAAUGGCUUGUUACUGAGUCAGUGGAGUUUCUCUGAGGCAAUGCUCUCAUAUGUGUUCUCUGGUGCUUUUUGGUAUAAAUGCAAUUAUUCUCUGAAACAGCAUUUAGUUGGACUGCAGGUUUCAGCUUAGGUAAUCUGAGCUUUGAGAAUUUAUUUCUGGACUGGAGUAGAUCUGCCUGGCAUUGACAUCUUUGAAAAGUGAACAGGAGAGGGGAGCCCUGAAACAUUGGUGAAGAAGAAGCCCUUUCCUGACAGGCGAAUGUUGACCGAGCUCUGGAAAACAGCAUCGGACCCUGCCUGAAAGAUAAUUGAUGUCCGGGUUCAAUCUCACCAGAGCUCUGCAAUCCCAUCAGGAGCACAGGAAUGGAUAUUCACCUUCCUUCCCCUUAUCCCCCACUGAGGCUUUCUGCAUGCAAGGCCUCAGCCUUUGCAUCAGUUUAUUGAUCUUUUAAUGUCGGAUCUAACUUGCUGCAGGGGCACUGUGAAUAAAAUAUUGCUAAAGUCCUGCCAUAUCAAUAUUCAUUUAUUUUUAUUGAUUAGUUGCCACUUCUAAAUUCUGGGUACUGAACUAAUGGAUGCUGAAUAACUAUUUUGAUUAAUGAAGCUAAAAUUGGCGUUAGCAUCCUACACUAACUACAGACAUUUUUUUUCUAUACAAAGCUAAUGAUUUCUUUUUUUAUGAUCUUCAAUUACUUUCAUUAUUUGACUUAUCCUUGGCACCUCACUGGA